UUCUGAUUUUUUAAAUCUCUGUUGAUAUACGCUUAAUACAGUUAUAUACGGUUGAACGUCCAUUUAUUACGUAGUCAAUUAACAUGAUGCUAAGCAACUGUUUUUACGCGUAAAACUGCGACGCGACAAUUACGGAGAAAACAGAACAGAAAACGUAUUUAAACUUAAGAUGAGGAGCCGGGGCAGCGAGAUGCAGCGAGUCCCGUGCAGAAGCGUGGAGCAGUGGCGUCCAGAUUGUACUGCCUCAGAAGGACAGACAUUUGCAAUUGCCGGAACCACCAUCAUAGUCCACCGUCUGCAAGACAGAGCACACAGCAGCAGCCCCUGUCAUGCACACAAGGCAAAGCAAAGAUGGCCGUGAUUGUCCAGGACUGAUAGAGAAUCUCCAUCAGCCCAGUCUGAUAAUGAGUAAAAAAAAUCAGAAUAUCUACAAUUAAAUUCAUCUAGCCUUAUUCUCAGGCUGUAAAAAGAGACUGGCUACCCAUGUAGAGUAGAUACAUGCUACUUAACACGACGAAAGAAAAUUAAAAAUUAAAAUACAUUUAAAACA